rnacentral:rRNA from 1 species
GUGCCAGCCGCCGCGGUAAUACCGGCAGCCCGAGUGAUGGCCGAUCUUAUUGGGCCUAAAGCGUCCGUAGCUGGCUGCGCAAGUCCGUCGGGAAAUCCACUUGCCCAACAGGUGGGCGUCCGGCGGAAACUGUGCAGCUUGGGACCGGAAGGCUCAGAGGGUACGUCCGGGGUAGGAGUGAAAUCCCGUAAUCCCGGACGGACCACCGAUGGCGAAAGCACUCUGAGAAGACGGCUUCGACAGUGAGGGACGAAAGCCAGGGUCUCCAACCGGAUUAGAUACCCGGGUAGUCC